UACAGAGGUCCCAAGCGUUGUUCGGAUUCAUUGGGCGUAAAGGGUGCGUAGGCGGCGCGGUAAGUCGGGUGUGAAAUCUCGGAGCUUAACUCCGAAACUGCAUUCGAUACUGCCGUGCUUGAGGACUGGAGAGGAGACUGGAAUUUACGGUGUAGCGGUGAAAUGCGUAGAUAUCCUUAGGAACACCGGUGGCGAAAGCGGCGUGCUGGACACCUUCUGACGCUGAGGCGCGAAAGCCAGGGGAGCAAACGGG
rnacentral:rRNA from 1 species